rnacentral:rRNA from 1 species
AAAUUGAAGAGUUUGAUCAUGGCUCAGAUUGAACGCUGGCGGCAGGCCUAACACAUGCAAGUCGAGCGGUAGCACAGAGAGCUUGCUCUCGGGUGACGAGCGGCGGACGGGUGAGUAAUGUCUGGGAAACUGCCUGAUGGAGGGGGAUAACUACUGGAAACGGUAGCUAAUACCGCAUAACGUCGCAAGACCAAAGUGGGGACCUUCGGGCCUCAUGCCAUCAGAUGUGCCCAGAUGGGAUUAGCUAGUAGGUGGGGUAACGGCUCACCUAGGCGACGAUCCCUAGCUGGUCUGAGAGGAUGACCAGCCACACUGGAACUGAGACACGGUCCAGACUCCUACGGGAGGCAGCAGUGGGGAAUAUUGCACAAUGGGCGCAAGCCUGAUGCAGCCAUGCCGCGUGUGUGAAGAAGGCCUUCGGGUUGUAAAGCACUUUCAGCGGGGAGGAAGGCGAUAAGGUUAAUAACCUUGUCGAUUGACGUUACCCGCAGAAGAAGCACCGGCUAACUCCGUGCCAGCAGCCGCGGUAAUACGGAGGGUGCAAGCGUUAAUCGGAAUUACUGGGCGUAAAGCGCACGCAGGCGGUCUGUCAAGUCGGAUGUGAAAUCCCCGGGCUUAACCUGGGAACUGCAUUCGAAACUGGCAGGCUAGAGUCUUGUAGAGGGGGGUAGAAUUCCAGGUGUAGCGGUGAAAUGCGUAGAGAUCUGGAGGAAUACCGGUGGCGAAGGCGGCCCCUGGACAAAGACUGACGCUCAGGUGCGAAAGCGUGGGGAGCAAACAGGAUUAGAUACCCUGGUAGUCCACGCCGUAAACGAUGUCGAUUUGGAGGUUGUGCCCUUGAGGCGUGGCUUCCGGAGCUAACGCGUUAAAUCGACCGCCUGGGGAGUACGGCCGCAAGGUUAAAACUCAAAUGAAUUGACGGGGGCCCGCACAAGCGGUGGAGCAUGUGGUUUAAUUCGAUGCAACGCGAAGAACCUUACCUGGUCUUGACAUCCACAGAACUUUCCAGAGAUGGAUUGGUGCCUUCGGGAACUGUGAGACAGGUGCUGCAUGGCUGUCGUCAGCUCGUGUUGUGAAAUGUUGGGUUAAGUCCCGCAACGAGCGCAACCCUUAUCCUUUGUUGCCAGCGGUUAGGCCGGGAACUCAAAGGAGACUGCCAGUGAUAAACUGGAGGAAGGUGGGGAUGACGUCAAGUCAUCAUGGCCCUUACGACCAGGGCUACACACGUGCUACAAUGGCAUAUACAAAGAGAAGCGACCUCGCGAGAGCAAGCGGACCUCAUAAAGUAUGUCGUAGUCCGGAUUGGAGUCUGCAACUCGACUCCAUGAAGUCGGAAUCGCUAGUAAUCGUAGAUCAGAAUGCUACGGUGAAUACGUUCCCGGGCCUUGUACACACCGCCCGUCACACCAUGGGAGUGGGUUGCAAAAGAAGUAGGUAGCUUAACCUUCGGGAGGGCGCUUACCACUUUGUGAUUCAUGACUGGGGUGAAGUCGUAACAAGGUAACCGUAGGGGAACCUGCGGUUGGAUCACCUCCUUA